GACGAACGCUGGCGGCGUGCCUAAUACAUGCAAGUAGAAUGCUGAAGGAGGAGCUUGCUUCUCUGGAUGAGUUGCGAACGGGUGAGUAACGCGUAGGUAACCUGCCUGGUAGCGGGGGAUAACUAUUGGAAACGAUAGCUAAUACCGCAUAACAGUAGAUGUUGCAUGACAUUUGCUUAAAAGGUGCAAUUGCAUCACUACCAGAUGGACCUGCGUUGUAUUAGCUAGUUGGUGGGGUAACGGCUCACCAAGGCGACGAUACAUAGCCGACCUGAGAGGGUGAUCGGCCACACUGGGACUGAGACACGGCCCAGACUCCUACGGGAGGCAGCAGUAGGGAAUCUUCGGCAAUGGACGAAAGUCUGACCGAGCAACGCCGCGUGAGUGAAGAAGGUUUUCGGAUCGUAAAGCUCUGUUGUAAGAGAAGAACGAGUGUGAGAGUGGAAAGUUCA
rnacentral:rRNA from 1 species